UACUUUGAUUACUGGGGCCAAGGAGUCAUGGUCACAGUCUCCUCAGCUGAAACAACAGCCCCAUCUGUCUAUCCACUGGCUCCUGGAACUGCUCUCAAAAGUAACUCCAUGGUGACCCUGGGAUGCCUGGUCAAGGGCUAUUUCCCUGAGCCAGCCACCGUGACCUGGAACUCUGGAGCCCUGUCCAGCGGUGUGCACACCUUCCCAGCUGUCCUGCAGUCUGGGCUCUACACUCUCACCAGCUCAGUGACUGUACCCUCCAGCACCUGGCCCAGCCAGACCGUCACCUGCAACGUAGCCCACCCGGCCAGCAGCACCAAGGUGGACAAGAAAAUUGUGCCCAGAAACGGUGGAGGUGUUUGCAAGCCUUGCAUAUGUACAGGCUCAGAAGUAUCAUCUGUCUUCAUCUUCCCCCCAAAGCCCAAGGAUGUGCUCACCAUCACUCUGACUCCUAAGGUCACAUGUGUUGUGGUAGACAUUAGCCAGGACGAUCCCGAGGUCCGGUUCAGCUGGUUUGUAGAUGACGUGGAAGUGCACACAGCUCAGACUCACCCACCGGAGGAGCAGUUCAACAGCACUUUCCGCUCAGUCAGUGAACUCCCCAUCCUGCACCAGGACUGGCUCAAUGGCAGGACGUUCAGAUGCAAGGUCACCAGUGCAGCUUUCCCAGCCCCCAUCGAGAAAACCAUCUCCAAAUCCGAAGGCAGACCACGAGGUCCACAGGUAUACACCAUGCCGCCUCCCAAGGAAGAGAUGACCCAGAAUGAAGUCAGUAUCACCUGCUUGGUAAAAGGCUUCUAUCCCGCGGACAUUUAUACGGACUGGAAGAUGAACGGGCAGCCACAGGAAAACUACAAGAACACUCCACCUACGAUGGACACAGAUGGGAGUUACUUCCUCUACAGCAAGCUCAGCAUGAAGAAGGAAAAAUGGCAGCAGGGAAACACUUUCACGUGUUCGGUGCUGCAUGAGGGCCUGCAUAACCACCAUACUGAGAAGAGUCUCUCCCACUCUCCGGGUAAAUGACCCCAGAGUCCAGUGGCCCCUCUUGGCCUAAAGGAUGCCAAUACCUACCUCUACCCCCCUUUCUCUGUGUAAAUAAAGCACCCAGCUCUGCCUUGGGACCCUGCAAAAA